rnacentral:lncRNA from 1 species
AAGGAGACUUCAGGGCCCAGAGCGUUCCUGUCACCAAAGUCUCCCCUGGCUUCUGCAGAACUUUGGUCAUCUAGGUGAGGGACCACAGGCCAGCCAGCUGUUCCCUCCAGACGUCUCCGGAAACCUCUGAGUCCCUUGGAAGGUAACAAACUCAGACCAAGGAUUUGGUCUUUGCCUGUUGGAUGGCCAGGAAAUAACAGCUUUGAAGAGGCUGCUCAAGGUGGUGAGAGAAAGACCUGUAGCCCCUUCCCUGACCCCAAAUCACCAUUUUUUGGCUAUUACAAGAUAAUUAAUGAGUGACUUAUUUGUAUGCUG